rnacentral:lncRNA from 1 species
AGAGAACUAACAUAUAUUUGAUACAAGCAUAUUCAUCAACCGCAUUUUGUACCUUAUUCAUAUAAUAUAUUAUAAGAAAGUUUAAAGAUGAAAAAAAUGGAAAUCCAAAAAGCCAUUUCAAAGGAUUUAGAUAAGAACUUUAUUUGUUUAGAAUUGAAGGGGAUAAAACAUACUGCAAAAGGUAUUCCAAACUGAGAACCAAGAGAACAUAACGUAACAUGAAAUAUUUUUAAAACUGUUUAUUUAAUCAUGGUAUGAGUUUGUAUGAAAUAAAUUAUACUAGGAGUGUCGAUGAUGGGUUGUAAUCUCAACACGAAAAGAAAAAAAGGUACACUGUAAUCCCCUUCCUAUGAUAAAAUAUAGAUUUCGAGCAAUUGUUAUACAACCGGAUCUUACGGUCAGGUUAGAUAAUGAUUAACUCAAACUCUUAUUGUAGAUAAAACGUAAUAACAACUAGAUUAGCAUUGAAACAGUGGUCCAUAUCAUUUGUGUUUUAUUGUUGAUUUACAUGUAUGAUGAUAAUUAAGUAUGAUACUAAAAAGAAAUCAAAUGA